CCCACGGCUUUUACCUGCUGGACUCUGGUGUUGACCAGUUGGGGACUAGAGAUAAAAUUACGGAUGAAAAGAGCGAACAAGUUGCGUUCUUACUGUAGACCAGGCAAUGUGGUGUGUCUGACCACUACCCAGUCUCCUGGACUGGCCUCUCUAUCCCUAGGACUGGUCCCCAGCAGUACAGCCUGUACAAGGCCAUAGAGCCAUCUGGCAAAAAACUGAGGACCUCAGUCCAACAGCCAGCAAGAAACUGAACCCUGCCAAAAACCAUGUGAGUGAACUUGGACAUGGAUCCUGUCCCAGCUGAGCCUUGAGAUAAGACUGCAGCCCCAGCUGACACUUUGAUGGCAGCCCGUGAGAGACACUGAGUGUACACCUUGAUGGAAAUCCUAUGAGAGAUUGUGAAGUAGAUGACUCAGUUAGGCCAUGCUAUUCCUGACCCGUAGAAAUGGUGAGAUCAUAAAUGUGUGUUGCUUAAGCUAAGUUUUAUUUUUUUUAAAACUGAAAUUCAAGAUUACAAGCAAUAAACAAUACAAAAAGGGGCAUAAAUCAUUUGAUCUUUUAUGAAGAGAUGAGCCAUAAACCUUUAUGUACUAAAUUGUUAUAGCAGGUUAAAAUUUAAAGCAAAACUCUUAGAAACACAAGAAAAUUUUGAUAAAAACCACAACCAUAAUGGGAGAUUAUAAUAUACCUCCUUCAAAACUUAACUG